GUGUAAUCAAACUAGCAUUUUGUAAUAACUCCCUUUUUUACCAUACCUUUGCCUUGCAUAAGAUACUUCUGAUGGUUUCUUUAUUACUGUAUUUGAACUAAGACUUAAAGUGCUUUAGUUCUAGAAUAUAUACACCUUAUAAUAAACACACAGUUGUGGGGAGAUAAAAAAAAAAAAAAAACGCAUCUCAGUCCAGGCAUUACUCAGUGCUGCGAAAUUAUCGAAAUGAAUCGACAAGUUUUGAGGGAAAUGAAUUGCAAUACCUAUAUGGUCCAGGAGGAGGCGCCCUUACUCUAUAGCUUCGUAGUGGUUUAGGUUGCAGGAACGGUGUCAUGCAGCCUUCCUGUCAGCGUCGCAUUUUCCCAGAAAACUGGUAUCGUUUGUAAACUUCGUGCCCUUAGACUUGUGCUAACUUGUCUGUCACAGCAAUACAUUUCAUCACUAAAGCAUGGCUUGUUUUCAGAAUUAAACAUCACAAAGCUGUAGUGAGCACAAAUGAGAUGACCGACGGUAUAGCUCAAGAGAUCGGAGCCGAAAUCAGUGUGAUAAUUUAGGACCAACCCCUUUCUGGAUGACUGCUUUCUCAAAAAGGGUGAUUAAUGAGAAAAGCAAACUCCCCAACUUUACCUGCCUCAGUCAGAGAUAUGACCCCUGGAGGGAUCCAACGGUUUGAAAAAGCUGGACAAUGAUAUGAUAUAUGUAUUUUUCAUCGACCAUUUAUCGCCCACAUUUAUUAAUGUGCUUUUUCUGCAAACUCCACCAAAGAACCCUGACCGAGAUGCCCUGUCUGCCAGUCACAUGCUCUGACAGAACCAAUCCAAAAGGUACAUCCCAUUUGUACCAGGAGGCAUGGUGGGCUUGGCCAGUACCCACCGUGUGCCGGGUCUGGGGUUCGAGCCCUGCUUCAGGUGCCUUGCGGCAGACUGGCAUCCCAUUCUGGAUGUGUCCCCUCCCCCUUCGUCCCCGCGCUUCGUGUUGCCAGUAUUUUACAGUCAAUAUUACAUGGCUGUCGUCCCCCGGAACAAGUGGAUCGGCAACACCUGUCUCUAGUCAAUGAGACCCAGGAAAUAAGGAGCUCCGUGACAACGACACGAUGCGGAUUCUUGCAAUCGCCUUCGCGCCCUUGCAGUCUCGGCGUCUUUGCUCUUUGUGUCUUGCCUGCUCUCCUGUUUUGAUCUUUGCCUGUUCUCUACGACAACGACUUUGGAUUGCCUGCAUGGUAACGUUCACGCCCGGAAAGACCUUCGGCUGCUCCUGACCUGGAUCUUGUCUCGUCCUUCAAACCUGGUUGUAUGAAUAAAACCAACCCGCG
rnacentral:lncRNA from 1 species